UACGUAGGGGGCAAGCGUUGUCCGGAUUCAUUGGGCGUAAAGCGCGUGUAGGCGGCCAUGCAAGUCGGAUGUGAAAGCCCUCGGCUCAACCGGGGAAGUGCACUCGAAACUGCAAGGCUAGAGUCUCGGAGAGGAUCGUGGAAUUCUCGGUGUAGAGGUGAAAUUCGUAGAUAUCGAGAGGAACACCGGUGGCGAAGGCGGCGAUCUGGACGAUGACUGACGCUGAGACGCGAAAGCGUGGGGAGCAAACAGG
rnacentral:rRNA from 1 species